UACGGAGGGUGCGAGCGUUGUCCGGAAUCACUGGGCGUAAAGGGCGCGUAGGCGGCCUGGCAAGUCGAUGGUGAAAGCCCGAGGCUCAACUUCGGGUCGGCCACUGAUACUGCUGGGCUUGAGUCGACUAGAGGCAGAUGGAAUUCCGGGUGUAGCGGUGGAAUGCGUAGAGAUCCGGAAGAACACCGGUGGCGAAGGCGGUCUGCUGGCAGUAGCUGACACUGAGGCGCGACAGCGUGGGAGCAACAGG
rnacentral:rRNA from 1 species